UACAGGGGGUGCAAACGUUGCUCGGAAUCAUUGGGCGUAAAGCGCACGUAGGCGGUUCGUUAUGUCGGAUGUGAAAGCCCUUGGCUUAACCGAGGAAGUGCAUCCGAAACUGGCGAGCUAGAGUACGAAAGAGGAUCGCGGAAUUCCCGGUGUAGCGGUGAAAUGCGUAGAGAUCGGAAAGAACACCAGUGGCGAAGGCGAGUCCCUGGACAACUCCUGACACUGAGGCACGAAAGCGUGGGGAGCAAACAGG
rnacentral:rRNA from 1 species